UACAGAGGGGGCAAGCGUUAUUCGGAAUUAUUGGGCGUAAAGGGCGCGUAGGCGGCUUGGCAAGUGGAUGGUGAAAUCCCUCGGCUUAACCGAGGAACUGCCGUCCAAACUGCUUCGCUUGAGACCGGGAGAGGUGAGUGGAAUUCCCAGUGUAGCGGUGAAAUGCGUAGAUAUUGGGAAGAACACCAGCGGCGAAAGCGCGCUACUGGGCCAUUACUGACACUCAUGGACGAAAGCUAGGGGAGCGAAAGGG
rnacentral:rRNA from 1 species